rnacentral:rRNA from 1 species
AUUGAACGCUGGCGGCAGGCCUAACACAUGCAAGUCGAACGAGUGGCGGACGGGGGAGUAAUGUCUGGGAAACUGCCUGGUGGAGGGGGAUAACUACUGGAAACGGUAGCUAAUACCGCAUAACAUCGGAUGAGCCCAGAUGGGAUUAGCUCGUAGGUGGGGAAAAGGGUCACAUAGGCGAAGAGCCCUAGCUGGUCUGAGAGGAUGACAAGAGAAACUGGAACUGAGACACGGGCCAGACUACUAAGUGAGGCAGCAGUGGGGAAGAUGGCACAAUGGGAGGAAGCAUGAUGCAGCGAUGCCGCGUGUAUGAAGAAGGCCUGCGGGUUGGAAAGUAAUUUCAGCGGGGAGGCGUUACUAGCAGAAGAAGCACCGGCUACCUCCGUGCCAGCCGCAGAGGUAAGG